rnacentral:rRNA from 1 species
AGAUUCAGUAGGUGACCUAUAGGAAUACUCAAGCUAUGCAUCCAACGCGUUGGGAGCUCUCCCAUAUGGUCGACCUGCAGGCGGCCGCGAAUUCACUAGUGAUUAGAGUUUGAUCCUGGCUCAGGAUGAACGCUGGCGGCGUGCCUAACACAUGCAAGUCGAGCGAGAAUGUUUUGAUGGAAUCUUCGGAUGAAAUCAAAACAGGAAAGCGGCGGACGGGUGAGUAACGCGUAGGCAACCUACCCUAUACAGAAGGAUAGCCUCGGGAAACUGGGAAUAAUACUUCAUAAAACUCUAACACCGCAUGAUGAAUGAGUCAAAAUUCAGGUGGUAUAGGAUGGGCCUGCGUCUGAUUAGCUAGUUGGUAAGGUAAUGGCUUACCAAGGCGACGAUCAGUAGCCGACCUGAGAGGGUGAUCGGCCACACUGGAACUGAGACACGGUCCAGACUCCUACGGGAGGCAGCAGUGGGGAAUAUUGCACAAUGGGCGAAAGCCUGAUGCAGCAACGCCGCGUGAACGAUGAAGGCCUUCGGGUCGUAAAGUUCUGUUCUAAGGGAAGAAUAAAUGACGGUACCUUAGAAGAAAGCCCCGGCUAACUACGUGCCAGCAGCCGCGGUAAUACGUA